rnacentral:rRNA from 1 species
UACGUAGGUGGCAAGCGUUGUCCGGAUUUACUGGGCGUAAAGAGCGCGCAGGCGGUCGUUCAAGUCGCGUGUGAAAGCCCCCGGCUCAACUGGGGAGGGUCACGCGAUACUGAUCGACUCGAAGGCAGGAGAGGGAAGUAGAAUUCCCGGUGUAGCGGUGAAAUGCGUAGAUAUCGGGAGGAAUGCCAGUGGCGAAGGCGGCUUCCUGGCCUGCCCCUGACGCUGAGACGCGAAAGCUGGGGGAGCGAACGGG